rnacentral:rRNA from 1 species
AUUGAACGCUGGCGGCAGGCCUAACACAUGCAAGUCGAACGAGUGGCGGACGGGUGAGUAAUGUCUGGGAAACUGCCUGAUGGAGGGGGAUAACUACUGGAAACGGUAGCUAAUACCGCAUACCAUCGGAUGUGCCCAGAUGGGAUUAGCUAGUAGGUGGGGUAACGGCUCACCUAGGCGCCGAUCCCUAGCUGGUCUGAGAGGAGGACCAGCCACACAGGAGCGGAGACACGGGCCAGACUCCUACGGGAGGUAGCAGUGGGGAAGAUUGCACAAUGGGCGCAAGCCUGAUGCAGCCAUGCCGAGUGUAUGAAGAGGGCCUUCGGGUUGUAAAGUAGUUUCAGCGGGGAGGCGUUACUCGCAGAAGAAGCACCGGCUAACGCCGUGCCAGCCGCCGCGGUAAUAC